AGUCUUGUAGUCUAAUAAGAAGGACGAUAAAUUGCAAAUUUAUCAGUGGGGUACCCCUAAGGCUU
rnacentral:tRNA from 1 species